rnacentral:rRNA from 1 species
GACGAACGCUGGCGGCGUGCUUAACACAUGCAAGUCGAGCGGUAAGGCCCUUUCGGGGGUACACGAGCGGCGAACGGGUGAGUAACACGUGGGUGACCUGCCCUCAGCUCUGGGAUAAGCCUGGGAAACCGGGUCUAAUACUGGAUAUGACUCCAUGACGCAUGUUGUGGGGUGGAAAGCCUUGUGCGGCUGAGGAUGGGCCCGCGGCCUAUCAGCUUGUUGGUGGGGUGANGGCCUACCAAGGCGACGACGGGUAGCCGGCCUGAGAGGGCGACCGGCCACACUGGGACUGAGACACGGCCCAGACUCCUACGGGAGGCAGCAGUGGGGAAUCUUGCGCAAUGGGCGAAAGCCUGACGCAGCGACGACGCGUGAGGGAUGACGGCCUCGGUGUAAC